GAUGAACGCUGGCGGCGUGCCUAAUACAUGCAAGUCGAGCGAACAGACGAGGAGCUUGCUCCUCUGACGUUAGCGGCGGACGGGUGAGUAACACGUGGAUAACCUACCUAUAAGACUGGGAUAACUUCGGGAAACCGGAGCUAAUACCGGAUAAUAUAUUGAACCGCAUGGUUCAAUAGUGAAAGACGGUUUUGCUGUCACUUAUAGAUGGAUCCGCGCCGCAUUAGCUAGUUGGUAAGGUAACGGCUUACCAAGGCGACGAUGCGUAGCCGACCUGAGAGGGUGAUCGGCCACACUGGAUGUGAGACACGGUCCAGACUCCUACGGGAGGCAGCAGUAGGGAAUCUUCCGCAAUGGGCGAGAGCCUGACGGAGCAGCGCCGCGUGAGUGAUGAAGGUCUUCGGAUCGUAGAACUAUGUUAUUAGGGAAGAACAAAUGUGCAAGUAGCUAUGCACGUCUUGACGGUACCUAAUCAGAAAGCCACGGCUAACUACGUG
rnacentral:rRNA from 1 species